GACAGAGGGUGCAAACGUUGCUCGGAAUCACUGGGCGUAAAGGGCGUGUAGGCGGGAAGGUAAGUCGGGCGUGAAAUCCCUGGGCUCAACCCAGGAACUGCACUCGAAACUACUUUUCUUGAGUGCCGGAGAGGAAAGCGGAAUUCCUGGUGUAGAGGUGAAAUUCGUAGAUAUCGAGGAGGAACACCAGUGGCGGAAGGCUGGCGUU
rnacentral:rRNA from 1 species